ACGGAUGGCGAGAUCGUGACCUGAGCUGAAGUCGGACGCUUAACCGACUGAGCCACCCAGGCGCCCCUCAUCUGUCGCUUCUAAAAGGAAACUGGUCCUCCCCAGACACCCUCCCUCUCCCCCGGAGAUAAGGACCUCUGAUCACACACCUCCACAGCACCCUGGGCCUCUCCUGGCUGGUUAAUUAAUAUCUGCUUCCAUCAGACUGUCAGCUCCACGGGGACAGGCACCAUAAUGGGUUUGCUCCCAUGGUGGUUAGGUGCUGGGGAGCACCCCGUGCACGCCUUGAUCUGGAGUAGCUGCUCAAAAAAAUAUAUUUGUGGCCUGAAUGACUGCAGGAUUCCCAAUCCAGGCCUGGAAUGACCCAAGGCUGGGUCGUCUGACUGGGAGGGGCGGGAGAUGUGCUCACAAAAGGAAGGACCAACAGCUAAGGGCUCCAGGAAGGAAUCUGUCCACCCUCAAGGCAGAUCUGUGCUGGAGAAGAGGCACCGUCCAGAAUCAGGUCCAGCCAAAACGAGAGCCCCUUGUUUUACCAGCAAGCUUUGUAACUUACAACACACUCUCCGCUAUUCACAUUAUUCUCCUGAUGUGGAAAAUGUGGAUCCGGGAGAGGUUAGGUGAGUCCAAGGUGGCGAAGGCAACACCCGAAUGCAGGUCUUUUGAACCCAGCCAGCUUUGCCGAGGCCAAGUGUACAAGGGGAGAGGAUGCGUUGCCAGCCAGCAAAGAUUCCAAGAUUCUGGCCUUCGGGCCAUUAUUUGACUCUUUCUGGGGUUUUUUAUUCGUUCACGUAGGUGUGCAUUCAUUCAUCGGUUCGGGAGACACGUACUCCAGUCGACCGCUGUCUUCGAGAAGGCCAUAGUCCAGUGCUGGCCUUGGGAAUCUGGGGUCCAUCUGUGAUUGGCCUGAGCUUAUUAUAGGUAAUUUUUGUGUGUUUACGUAUAACUGUCCAUUUUUCACGUAAACUUUCAAAAAGCUUCCACGACUCCAGCCAUCCUUCCCUCCCCGCUCUGCAAAACGUUUAAGAAUCACCGGCUAACUCGGUAUAAAAGGACAGCAGCCCCUGUGCUCGUCAGUCCGUCCCGCCUGUUUGGGUGACGAAGGCCCCAACACAUGACCACGUCUGGUCCAAGUGAUAAACCCGCUCGCUGUCUGGCCCGCAUGACUCACCCAAGGCGCUGCCGACCUGGGACAGCUGCUCUCAGCCAGUGCUCUGGGAAGAGAACCGUAUAGAAACACACACACACACACACACACACACACACGCGCGCGCGCGCGCGCCACCCCCAGCUCUAAAACGGCUCCUGCCUCCAGGAAGAUACUUUGGUUUUUCCCUCCUGUAUUAGCAACAGCUGCCCACGAUGGUGACAUAUACUGAGGGCGUCUGUGUGUCAGACACUGUGAUGCCUAGCGCCUCAUCUUUUUACAUCCCCGUGGCAGGCCUCCGCGUCUAGGAACUUGCCCAAGGUCACACGUCAGGGGAGAGGUAGGGGUGGGGGUGGGGGCGCCGAGGAGAGCGGCAGGUGUUUAUGAUCCUUCGGGGCUGAGCCCACACCCUGGUGUCCACACCGUCAUGCCCGCGCCUCCCACGCUGUACCAGAGUCGGUCUGAGUGACCAGUGGCGCCGGGCAGGAGCCAAGGCCCGGCUCAGCCGGUGCGGGUCAGGACCGACGAUGCUUCAUCUUAGGCGCUCUCUCUCACUCUCUUGCUCUCCCCUCUUUCUGGAUCGCUCGCUCGGCCGCCAGGCUUCCCCACCGGGGACGCUCCCAAGGCGAGGAACUGAAUUCAGCCUCGGGCCAGCAGCCAGGGCAGACCCGGCGACAACCACAUGAGGAUGGUUUCGUUUCAAAAGGGGAUUUCCUUCUAAGGACACACAUACAGACACGCCGUCUUGAGAACAUCAAUGGAGCGGAAAGUGAUAGAAACCCUGGGUCUAGAUCCGGCGUUAUUGGAGCGGGUCUGGCCUCAGCCUCCUCGUCUAGAAACAGGAGGAACAUAUGGAACGAUCUCUCCAACCACAGGACGGUAGCCGUCACGGUCCUCAGAGCAGUUAUUUUCUGACUUUAAUGUUUGGACCUGGGGAGCAGACCCUCUGGCGAUUGUGACGCAGGUCGUCCGUCCACCACGUCUUGACAGACACGACUUUCUGAAAAAUUCCUAAGAGAGGAUGACUUCUGGAAGGACAUGUAAGAAGCUAGUAAGGGCGGUUACCUCCUGGGAGGAGAGCUGGGAGGCCUGAAGGCAGGGGAGGCACGGAGACUUACCCACCAGCGUAUUCUCGGUUGUACCUUGUGAAUUUCGUAGCACACGCGUAGGUAGCCGAACCGCAUACCCGCAUAAAUAAACGUGGGUUUAUUUGAAAAA